AAGAAAAAGAAAGAAAAAAAAAGAAAAGGAAAAGAAAAGAAAAGAAAAAAGAAAAGAAAAGUUAUCACCAGGUGAUAACUACUAUGUUGAAAAUUGAGGUAGUGGAAGGGGGAACAGCAAGGGCAGAGUGGGGUUUCUUGCAUAUGCAGGUUGUUUGAGAAAGGCUGCUCUGAUAAGCUGGCAUGGGAAGCAGUGCAGGAUAAGGGAGGGGUUUCCCCAUGCAAGUAUCUGGGGGAGAAGCUUUCCAGGAAGAAGAAACAGGCCAGUGCAAAGGCCUAGAGGCUGGAGGAUGCUUGGCUGUGCGCCAGGAACAGCAAGGAAGCUAGCAUGGCCGGAGUAGGGGGUGCAAGGGACCUUGCCGGCUUCCCACCAUUGUCUGAUAAGGCUGGUACAGCCUACAUUGAAGAGCAUGAAACAGUCACCCUGCAAGGAGGUGCUGAUUCUCCAAAUACCCUAUCUCUACCUGUGCCUUCACUCCUAGAACUAGAAUCAGAUGCUAACGCACUCCAAGAGGAUAUGGACAAGAUCUGAUUGAGGGGAGACGCUUUACACAACAAAAGAGCAACAGAAAGCAAGAAACAGGCAUGACGAAUGAUGACUGGCCAUGGAGGAGGAGUGGAACUGGCAAGGACACUGAGAGGCAGCAGCUAAUAGGGAAACAAGGAGACGUGGAAUCCUACAAGCCAAGUGAAAAAAAAAAACCUUUUUCUGGGAGGAAAGCGUAAUCCACUAUAUCAAAUGCUGCUUAACAAAUGCUUGUUGAAUGAAUACUGGGAGACAGAUGAAGGCCCCAGUGUUCCUCUCCCUGAUGCUAUUCCUCUUCCUCUUCUCAGCAGA